rnacentral:misc_RNA from 1 species
UCUCCGUUGGUGAACCAGCGGAGGGAUCAUUACAGGACUCGCAAGACCCCUACAACCCUGUGAACUUAACUAUAAGCACGUUGCUUCGGCGGGUGUCUCGGAGGGGGUUCUCCCUCCCCGAGACGCUAAACCCGCCGGCAGCCUACUAUACUCUGUCUCUUUGCGUUGGCAUCUCGAGUACAAUCAAACAAGUUAAAACUUUCAACAACGGAUCUCUUGGUUCCG